GAUGAACGCUAGCGGCAGGCCUAAUACAUGCAAGUCGAACGGUGUCUUCGGACAUAGUGGCGCACGGGUGCGUAACACGUAUGCAACCUACCUUACAUUGGGGGAUAGCCUUUCGAAAGGGAGAUUAAUACCGCAUAAGACAGUAGCUGGGCAUCCAGCAGCUGUUAAAGAUUUAUCGAUGUAAGCUGGGCAUGCGUCCAAUUAGCUAGUUGGUGAGGUAACGGCUCACCAAGGCAAUGAUUGGUAGGGGAACUGAGAGGUCAAUCCCCCACACUGGCACUGAGAUACGGGCCAGACUCCUACGGGAGGCAGCAGUAGGGAAUAUUGGGCAAUGGACGCAAGUCUGACCCAGCCAUGCCGCGUGCAGGAUGAAGGCGUUAUGCGUUGUAAUCUGCUUUUAUACAGGAAGAAACGACUCUUGCGAGAGGCAUUGACGGUACUGUAUGAAUAAGCACUGGCUAACUCUGUGCCAGCCGCCGCAGUAAGAC
rnacentral:rRNA from 1 species